rnacentral:lncRNA from 1 species
ACUAGUUUAUCCUCUUAAAAAUCAAGUUAGGGCUUCGCCUCGGGUGGAGGUGGUAGCAGUGGCCAGAUGAGGAAUGUAAUGGAGGCUUCUGGGCGCUGGCAUCUCCUGUGACUUGGGUGCUAGUCACAUGGUGCUUUCACUCUGUGGAAAGUGUACAUUUAUGUAGGUAAAAAGUAAAACAUUUACUUAAAUCCAAUGCUUCAUUCAUCUCAAAGCCUCUUUCUGUCUUGGGCUUAGGUCUGAUCAAUGGAGCAGGUAGGAAGGAGCCCCUUUCACGUUCUUCCUGGCUGCCCCCCUCCUCCUCCUCCACGGGACCCUCCAGCAUCAGAGCAGAAGGGAAGGCAGCCGAACAAUCGACGCUGUCAGCUUUUGGAUCACAGUCCAGAUUCCUAAACAGCAACAUGUAUGAGCUCAGGCUUCCCACGCAUGUCCUUGGAAGCAUCCGUGGCCUCGAAGGUAAUCUCCUGGAGGGUGGCAGCCAUAUUGUUCUUCUCAGUUCUUAACAAAUAGCCUGACACCAAAUGGAUGUGGGAUAACGACAUUUUGAAUGGUGACCAACUAUGAAGAGUUCAAGAAUCCCUGGUGCUCUCUAAGUUUUGUACUUGCCUUAAAUUUUUUCUGCAUUGUGAUUUCCAGCCAAAUAAAAAAACAAGUGGGGUAAAAAAGCCAACAAGGAAAAUACAUAUAAGUAACAAUUUUCGGUAUGUUAGGAUGAUGAAUCUUGGGCAGUUUUUUCUGUUUCCCAAAUUUAUUUGAAAUAGCAAUAAAAAGAAAAAAAAUACAUAUAUAUUAAUUUACUGAAAAAGAGAUAGCUUGCCAUCCUUUCUGUUAAAAAGAAAAAAAAUACUUUUAAUUGUCUCUGAAAAUUACAAGAAGACAUUACUCUGGUUUUUUCAAGAAGGAAACGAAGGACUGGAGAACAUGACUAAGCAAAAUUUGUUUGCUUUCAUUUUGUUUGCUUGCUUUCUAUUAUCUGCUUUUGUAGGUUUGAAUUUCAAACCGUAUGAAUGUGUUACAUGUUCAAAUAAUAAAUUAUAUUUACAAUGGAGUUUUUGUUUCAAAAUAUGUAAUAUUCAGUACUGAAGAAUUCUGAAUUUUAGAGCUGACAAGUCCUUAGAGGAGAGUUAGUAGCAAUUAUCUCAUUUAAAAUAAUUUUUGGGCGCCUG